CCUACGGGUGGCUGCAGUGGGGAAUUUUGGACAAUGGGGGCAACCCUGAUCCAGCCAUGCCGCGUGCGGGAAGAAGGCCUUCGGGUUGUAAACCGCUUUCGGCCGGAACGAAAUCGCCGGGGAGAACAUCCCCGGUGGAUGACGGUACCGGAAGAAGAAGCACCGGCUAACUACGUGCCAGCAGCCGCGGUCAUACGUAGGGUGCGAGCGUGGAGUGGAAUUACCGCGCGUGGUUCGCUAAGACGCGGUUGAAAUCCCCGGGCUUAACCUGGGAACUGCGUUUGUGACUGGCGGGCUGGAGUGCGGAAGAGGGAGGUGGAAUUCCACGUGUAGCAGUGAAAUGCGUAGAGAUGUGGAGGAACACCGAUGGCGAAGGCAGCCUCCUGGUCUAGCACUGACGCUCAUGCACGAAAGCGUGGGGAGCAAACAGGAUUAGAUACCCUAGUAGUC
rnacentral:rRNA from 1 species